rnacentral:rRNA from 1 species
GUGCCGGCAGCCGCGGUAAUACCGGCAGCCCGAGUGAUGGCCGCUAUUAUUGGGCCUAAAGCGUCCGUAGCCGGCCGGGCAAGUCCGUCGGGAAAUCCACCCGCUUAACGGGUGGGCGACCGACGGAAACUGCACAGCUUGGGACCGGAAGGCUCGAAGGGUACGUUCGGGGUAGGAGUGAAAUCCCAUAAUCCCGCACGGACCACCGAUGGCGAAAGCACUUCGAGAAAACGGAUCCGACAGUGAGGGACGAAAGCCAGGGUCUCCAACCGGAUUAGAUACCCGUGUAGUCC